UCGAUAGCUCAGUCGGUAGAGCAGAGGAUUGAAAAUCCUCGUGUCGGUGGUUCGAUUCNUCAG
rnacentral:tRNA from 1 species